rnacentral:rRNA from 1 species
GGCGGUAAUUUAAGUCUGAAUUUAAAGGCUGUGGCUCAACCAUAGUAAGGUUCAGAUACUGGAUUACUUGAGUAGAUGAGGGGAAAGUGGAAUUCCAUGUGUAGCGGUGAAAUGCGUAGAUAUAUGGAGGAACACCUGUGGCGAAGGCGACUUUCUGGAAUCUAACUGACGCUGAGGUACGAAGGCGUGGGGAGCACACAGGAUUAGAUACCCUGGUAGUCCACGCAGUAAACGAUGAGUGCUAGUUGUCGGGAGUCAAAUCUCGGUGACGCAGCUAACGCAUUAAGCACUCCGCCUGGGGAGUACGUACGCAAGUAUGAAACUCAAAGGAAUUGACGGGGACCCGCACAAGCAGCGGAGCAUGUGGUUUAAUUCGAAGCAACGCGAAGAACCUUACCAAGGCUUGACAUAUACAGGGAUAUACUAGAGAUAGUAUAGUUUCUUCGGAAACUUGUAUACAGGUGGUGCAUGGUUGUCGUCAGCUCGUGUCGUGAGAUGUUGGGUUAAGUCCCGUAACGAGCGCAACCCUUAUCUUUAGUUACCAGCAUUUCGGAUGGGGACUCUAGAGAGACUGCCGGUGAUAAACCGGAGGAAGGUGGGGAUGACGUCAAAUCAUCAUGCCCUAUAUGUCUUGGGCUACACACGUGCUACAAUGGUCUGAACAAAGCGCAGCUACCUCGUGAGAGCAAGCGAAUCGCAUAAAACAGAUCUCAGUUCGGAUUGUAGGCUGCAACUCGCCUACAUGAAGUCGGAGUUGCUAGUAAUCGUGGAUCAGAACGCCACGGUGAAUGCGUUCCCGGGUCUUGUACACACCGCCCGUCACACCAUGGGAGUUGGCAAUACCCGAAGCCGUCGAGCUAACCGUUAGGA